GACAGAGGAUGCAAGCGUUAUCCGGAAUCACUGGGCGUAAAGCGUCUGUAGGUGGUUCAAUAAGUCAACUGUUAAAUCUUGAGGCUCAACUUCAAAAUCGCAGUCGAAACUAUUGGACUCGAGUAUAGUAGGGGUAAAGGGAAUUUCCAGUGGAGCGGUGAAAUGCGUAGAGAUUGGAAAGAACACCAAUGGCGAAAGCACUUUACUGGGCUAUUACUAACACUCAGAGACGAAAGCUAGGGUAGCAAAUGGGG
rnacentral:rRNA from 1 species